UCAGCGCCACUUCGUUUCCGAGCAAUUAAUCAUAUACGAAAUCAAAAUGCUCUCGAAUUUAAAGACGAAAAAUAAUGCAAGAGUUUUUUCAUCUCUGAACCAAGAAAAAACCAUACAUCGCUUUAUUUUUCGUUGAUCUGAUCCACCUUUAUUUCAAUAAAAAUGGCCGAACAAAUUAGCAUUGCCAAAUGCCCAUCCUCUAAAUCAACGACGACUGUAUCCAGACGCAGAUCCUUAUGGCCGUCCGUUCUCCGUUGGAUUCCGACAUCUAUAGACCACAUCCUCGCCUCCGAGAAACGCCUUCUCUCUCUCGUCAAGAAUUCGAUCGAAUGAGCUGUUGAAAAUUUCAGGACUUCAUACGUGCAAGAACAUGUGAAUAUAGGUUCAGGUCCAUCUGGUUCUAAAAUUAGGUGGUUUCGUUCUUCGAGCAACUCGCCGAGGGUUUCUUUUUUAAGAGCUUUGAUUAUCUCGCCGAACAUUUCCAGGUCAUUGCCAUUGAUCAGCUUGGGCAAACAGGAAGCUCCUUUUGUCUUAAAGCUAAACUGCACUAGUGAUAACUUCGAUUCGAUCAGUUCUCAGUUGGGGUGGACCGAGCAGGCCUAACUUACAUGCAAAAGCACUGAAGAGUGAAAAAUCUCAGUAACCUUAUUAUACUUGGACAUUCUUUUGGAGGAUAUAUUGCUUCUAAAUAUGCUCUCAAGCACCCUGAGCACGUUCAGCACUUAAUUUUAGUGGGACCUGCUGGAUUUUCAUCAGAACCAGAUAGCAGUAUUGAGUGGCUAACCCGCUUAAGAGAGACAUGGAAAGGGGCAACUUUGAAUCGUUUGUGGGAGUCUAAUUUUACUCCUCAGAAGAUUAGGUUUAGGUCCCUGGGGUCCAAAGAUUGUACACAAGUAUACGGCUACUAGGUUUAAUCCUAAAGAUUCAGCUGAUUUUGUACUGGCAGAGGAGCAGAAUAAACUUCUGACAGAUUAUGCAUACCAUAUUUCCGCUGCCAAAGCAAGUGGAGAGCUGUGCUUAAAACAUAUAUUCUCUUUUGGAGCACUACCUCGGGUGCCUCUUCUAAAUAGACUUGGUUACACUGCUUGAUAUUUAUUGGGUCCAUUGCAUUGGCUAAUACAUGCGUAUUUAUAUUGAUUUCUGUAUAGACCUUUGAAAAUACUAUUUCUGCAAUAUCCUCACAUUGACUUAAAAACAUACUCUAGAAUGCAAAAUAUGUAUCUCUUGUUGCUCUUGGUACAUUUCUGUAGAUCCACAAUAAAGAAGCAGGUAUUGUUAACAACCAUGAAUUUAUCUAUGCAUCAAUUAUAUGAGAAAAAAAUAAAAUAAAAUAAAAAGAGAGUAAUGCCCUUGUAAUGUUCUCAAAGCUUCACUCUGGUGUAAAAUGCCAGUGAAUAGGCAUACCUUCAUUGCUAGCAGAGGAUUAUGAUAUAAGCGGUUCAUUCAUAAUUGCAUGGCAUCUAAUCAAAACUAGGAGAACACACUUUUCAAAAUUUGAUGCUGACUAAUUUAAGAGCCAUAGAAUAUGAACGACUAGCUUGUAUCUAGCAACAAGAGAUGAGUUCAGGUUUUUAGAAGACACUACUAAGUUUCAUUUCUUUUUUCUAUCUUUUUUUUCUGUGAAUAGUGCAUCUGAAUGGAAAGUGCCAACAACAUUUAUAUACGGGACUGAAGAUUGGGUGAACUAUCAAGGAGCCCAAGACACUACUAAGGGUGGACAUUUCGUGUUCCUUGAAAACACAGAGGGAUUCCAUUCGGCCGUGUCAUAUGUGCAUGUAGGAGAUUUCUCUCACCUAACCCUGAUACUCAACCCUUGCCUUAAGGCUUGGAAUCAGCUUAGAAUAAAGUAUUGUAAUUUCUUCACCCACACUUUUUUGUAUAAUACAUAAUCACGAGAUUCCUUUGUUCUGUAACAUUCUUUUUGGUCAAUAAAACAUUCUUUUCUUCCAA